UCUCCGUUGGUGAACCAGCGGAGGGAUCAUUACCGAGUUUACAACUCCCAAACCCAAUGUGAACGCUACCAAACUGUUGCCUCGGCGGGAUCUCUGCCCCGGGUGCGUCGCAGCCCCGGACCAAGGCGCCCGCCGGAGGACCAACCUAAAACUCUUAUUGUAUACCCCCUCGCGGGUUUUUUUAUAAUCUGAGCCUUCUCGGCGCCUCUCGUAGGCGUUUCGAAAAUGAAUCAAAACUUUCAACAACGGAUCUCUUGGUUCUG
rnacentral:misc_RNA from 1 species